AGAACAUCAUAUUACCAUAUCUCACUAAUCAAAUACAUCUACUUCCGGAGGCACCCAAGUCGAUCUCACCAUUAAGAUGUAGAAGAAAUGAAGGAUCAAAAGCUCGAGAGUUGGUGGAUGGGUAUCGUAUUGUCGUCCUUGAACAUUGCGUCCUCUAGCAGACCAUAUAUUAUCCAACCGUUUUUUUCACUAUUCAAACUGAUUAUGCAAUGAAAGUGGAGUGGGACGGCGAGAUCAUGAGCAUGAAUACUUUUGGCCUGCACACGAAAAUGCAAAUAGGAUCCGACUAUUUUCAUGACAGUGUUUUGGAAAUCCGCUUACAUGUGUAACAUAGAAAUUUCACUGUCCAAAAAUGAUUUCCAACCACUUACGAAAUAGUAGUAAGAGGAAGUCACCCCGAUUAUUACAGCCCCAAGAAGUCGAACAAUAUUCCUGAACUUGGGACACAUUUUUAUUGGGGAUUCUUUUUUUUUUAUCGGAAGCAU
rnacentral:misc_RNA from 1 species